CCUUCACUCCAGCCCCUGCAUUUGGAAACCCCUUUUCCAAUACCAGCUCCUCUCCUCUAAAUCCUUCUCGGUCUUUUUGCAGUAUUUCACCCACUCAUUUGGAGCCGGCUGCUUUGGGGAUUAACUUGGACAUUUCAUUGUCUUUGAUGCUGUUUGCAGUACUUUGGCCCAUGCUGUGACAGAUCAAGCAGUUGUGAAGCACUGCAAGACGAAAAGAAGACAUGCAAACUUCAUCCAGC